AGAACGAACGCUGGCGGCAUGCCUAAUACAUGCAAGUCGAACGAACACUUCGGUGUUAGUGGCGCACGGGUGCGUAACGCGUGGGAAUCUGCCCUUGGGUUCGGAAUAACAGUUGGAAACGACUGCUAACACCGGAUGAUAUCGAAAGAUCAAAGAUUUAUCGCCCAGGGAUGAGCCCGCGUAGGAUUAGCUAGUGGUGAGGUAAAGGCU
rnacentral:rRNA from 1 species